rnacentral:rRNA from 1 species
UACGAAGGGGGCUAGCGUUGCUCGGAAUUACUGGGCGUAAAGGGCGCGUAGGCGGCGCGACAAGUCACUUGUGAAAUCUCUGGGCUUAACUCAGAACGGCCAAGUGAAACUGUUGUGCUAGAGUGCAGAAGGGGCAAUCGGAAUUCUCGGUGUAGCGGUGAAAUGCGUAGAUAUCGAGAGGAACACCAGAGGUGAAGACGGGUUGCUGGGCUGACACUGACGCUGAGGCGCGAAAGCCAGGGGAGCAAACGGG